GCUUGCGGUGUGUUAAUACAUGCAAGUCGAUGCGCACUUUAUGUGAGCGGCGGACGAGCGAGUAACACGUUGGAACCUGCCCCAAACUCAGGGAUAACAUCUAGAAAUAGGUGCUAAUAGCGGAUAGUCCCGCAAGGGUAAAGAUUUUUCGGUUUGGGAGGGGCCUGCGUACUAUCAGCUAGUUGGUAAGGUAAUGGCUUACCAAGGCUAUGACGGUUAACUGGUCUGAGAGGAUGAUCAGUCGCGAUGGGACUGAGACACGGCCCAUACUCCUACGGGAGGCAGCAGUAAGGAAUCUUCCACAAUGGACGAAAGUCUGAUGGAGCAACACCGCGUGAUCGAUGAAGCCUUUAGGGGUGUAAAGAUCUUUUCUGAGAGAAGAACUCUGACGGUAUCUUAGGAAUAAGCACCGGCUAACUCCGUGCCAGCAGCCGCGGUAAUACGGAGGGUGCAAGCGUUACCCGGAAUCAUUGGGCGUAAAGCGUCCGCAGGCGGUUUGUUAAGUAAGAUGUUAAAUUUUCCAGCUCAACUG
rnacentral:rRNA from 1 species